GAGUGUGGAACCGGUGAGAUUAAAAUACGAAAGAGGAGCAGCCGUGUACAAUCGCCCGUACACUUCCCGCUUACCUGCUCCCCUUCCGCUCACGCAAGCACAUACGCCCUGCCAAAAGCUGACAAGAAGAUAGGACGCAUAGCAGAACUCCCUCCCGCUCGCUCGCCGUGGCAACGUUGUCUGUCUCUCUCGCUCUGUUAUUUUUUUCUUGUCGCUGCGAUUUGUGUGCUUGCCCACAUCUUUAUUGCUGUGUGCGUCACCAGCCGGCUCUUGUGUAGGAGCCGCACGUCCCUUUUCUCUCGUCGUCGUCGUCCUUCCGAUAACCGCUCUCACGGCGCACUCACGUCGACGCCCCAGGCCGGGCAAUCGCGCUUUUUUUUGCUUUUCGCCUGUCGAGCGUGUCCGAAGUCCGGCACGCAAGCAAGAUGGCGGAAAGCAUUCCGAUCAAGGUGCUCUUUGAUGCACUGCACCUGAAGGUUUCCAUAGAAGUCGCUACCGGGGAGGUGUACCAUGGCACCGUAGAAGAGUUGCAGAACAACAUGAAUGUGCUACUGAAAGAUGCCACCAAGACUGCACGGGGCGGUAAGGAGACCAAGAUGGACUCCGUCUUUGUACGAGGCUCAAACAUCGUCUUCUUCCAGUUGCCCGAUGCGCUGCAGACCAGUCCUGCGUUGCUCCGCGCAGGCGAGGUCGUGUCCAAGGCAAAGGACACGCGUGGCGACGGCAAGGGAUUUGGCGCGUCUCGCAAGCGUGCUCGCAACUCAUAGGACCAUAUCGCACACGAGGCAACGCCGGUUCUGCGCUAACAUCCCUUCCCCGACGUUCCUGACAAAGGGGGCCUUAAUCCUCUCCCGGUCCUGCAGCGUGGCGUGCAGCGAGCACGUCUUUAUCGCUUCCUUUGUGUGCCUGUGCCUGUGUCGGUGGCGUAGAUGUAUGUGCUGUGGUCCGAUUGUGCCCUCGCUUCAAUAGCGGGACGCGGUCGGAGUCUUCUGUGUCUUCGUAAAAAGGAAGAACGCAACAAGAAAAGGGGGCGAAGCGUACGCGAAGGCAAGGCGCGACAGCCACACGCAAAGGUGUUUGAAGCGGCGCCAGGAUGCGGAGAGCGGUGAGUUGUCGUCUGUGGUGGUUGAGGCGGUUGCUGUCUUGGCAUUGAAAAACGUCCUUCACCUCGUGUGGCUUUCUCUGGGACAGACAGAGAAAAGGUCUGGGCCCCCUACUCUGCGCCAAAUGCAGCUGGCAAGCGAGUUUUGCAGCUCUCGCUGCCGUCGCCGAUAG
rnacentral:misc_RNA from 1 species